UGAAAAAGAUUUGGAAAAGCUCUCCUCCCUCACCCGAACCCUAGUUGCCGCCGCUGCAGUUUCUUCUUAUUGCGUCGAUUGUCGUUUACCACCACUAACAUAUCCUUCAUUGCAAUGGAAGAAGGAGGCAUAGGAACACUCUCGGAAGUUCUCCAAAGCCUCAAGAAGUUAUUGCUUAGGUAUCGCGACGGUCUAGAACAGCUUGAGCGUCUCGAGAAUUCCACCUCUACCUCCACUGCCAGCCUUAAUUCAGAACUUUCGUUUACUAUAAAGAAGUUUAUCAACCAGAUUCAAUCCCUCUGCGUUGAGAUGGACCGCCGUUUUGUUGCAGCCAAACCCUAACACAACCUCUGUAAAAGAGCUUAGAGAUUUGAACCAUUCCUCAACAUCAGCCAAGCAAGGGAAUUCCAUCCACCAUUUUGAAUCACACCUCUAUCCUUAGAGAUUUGAACCAUCCCAAUAUUGUCAGGUUGUUGCAAAUUCUAGCUACUGAGGAAUAUAUGUUUGGUGUGUGUAAAUCUUGAAAAAUAGUACAUCACUAAUCCCGUGCUUAGCAUUCACACUUUCGAAAGAUCUGUUCUACAUCAAGCUCUUUUUGGAAUUUGUGCACCCAAAACUUCUAUUCAUAAGGCUCAUCUGAGCUAUACAGCACCUGAACUUUUGAUGGGCUCAACCAAUUACUUAACUGCAGCUGAUAUCUGGUAUAUGGGCUGCAUAUUUUCUCACAUCAUUAAGC